AUUGAACGCUGGCGGAAUGCUUUACACAUGCAAGUCGAGCGGCAGCACGGGGGCAACCCUGGUGGCGAGCGGCGAACGGGUGAGUAAUACAUCGGAACAUGCCCAGUCGUGGGGGAUAACACUUCGAAAGAAGUGCUAAUACCGCAUACGUCCUGAGGGAGAAAGCGGGGGAUCUUCGGACCUCGCGCGAUUGGAGUGGCCGAUGUCAGAUUAGCUAGUUGGUGGGGUAAAGGCCUACCAAGGCAACGAUCUGUAGCUGGUCUGAGAGGAUGAUCAGCCACACUGGGACUGAGACACGGCCCAGACUCCUACGGGAGGCAGCAGUGGGGAAUUUUGGACAAUGGGGGCAACCCUGAUCCAGCCAUUCCGCGUGAGUGAAGAAGGCCUUCGGGUUGUAAAGCUCUUUCGGCAGGAACGAAACGGUGAGCUCUAACAUAGCUUGCUAAUGACGGUACCUGAAGAAGAAGCACCGGCUAACUACGUGCCAGCCGCCGCGGUAAUAC
rnacentral:rRNA from 1 species